GACGAACGCUGGCGGCGUGCCUAAUACAUGCAAGUCGAGCGAGCUGAACCAACAGAUUCACUUCGGUGAUGACGUUGGGAACGCGAGCGGCGGAUGGGUGAGUAACACGUGGGGAACCUGCCCCAUAGUCUGGGAUACCACUUGGAAACAGGUGCUAAUACCGGAUAAGAAAGCAGAUCGCAUGAUCAGCUUAUAAAAGGCGGGCGUAAGCUGUCGCUAUGGGAUGGCCCCGCGGGUGCAUUAGCUAGGUUGGUAGGGUAACGGCCUACCAAGGGCAAUGAUGCAUAGCCGAGUUGAGAGACUGAUCGGGCCACAUUGGGACUGAGACACGGCCCAAACUCCUACGGGAGGCAGCAGUAGGGAAUCUUCCACAAUGGACGAAAAGUCUGAUGGAGCAACGCCGCGUGAGUGAAGAAGGUUUUCGGAUCGUAAAGCUCUGUUGUUGGUGAAGAAGGAUAGAGGUAGUAACUGGCCUUUAUUUGACGGUAAUCAACCAGAAAGUCACGGCUAACUACGUGCCAGCAGCCGCGGUAAUACGUAGGUGGCAAGCGUUGUCCGGAUUUAUUGGGCGUAAAGCGAGCGCAGGCGGAAGAAUAAGUCUGAUGUGAAAGCCCUCGGCUUAACCGAGGAACUGCAUCGGAAACUGUUUUUCUUGAGUGCAGAAGAGGAGAGUGGAACUCCAUGUGUAGCGGUGGAAUGCGUAGAUAUAUGGAAGAACACCAGUGGCGAAGGCGGCUCUCUGGUCUGCAACUGACGCUGAGGCUCGAAAGCAUGGGUAGCGAACAGGAUUAGAUACCCUGGUAGUCCAUGCCCGUAAACGAUGAGUGCUAAGUGUUGGGAGGUUUCCGCCUCCUCCAGUGCUGGAGCUAACGCAUUAAGCACUCCGCCUGGGGAGUACGACCGCAAGGUUGAAACUCAAAGGAAUUGACGGGGGCCCGCACAAGCGGUGGAGCAUGUGGUUUAAUUCGAAGCAACGCGAAGAACCUUACCAGGUCUUGACAUCUAGUGCAAUCCGUAGAGAUACGUCGGGGACAUAAGACC
rnacentral:rRNA from 1 species